rnacentral:rRNA from 1 species
GCACGUCGCCCUAAGGCCCCGCCUGCGGGACAUGCUAAAAUCCACGUGGACGCGGCAGUUUCCAAGACCCGCAACUGUGGUGCUGCGGCGGCGGUGUGCAGGAGUAACGGCGGAAACUUCAUGGGCAGUUCAGCAUUGGUGAUACAUGGGAUAACUGAUGCAGCAACAUUAGAAGCUAUUGCAUGCAGGGAAGGUUUUGCUCUGGCGCAAGAUUUACUAUUGACUGAUUUUGUUAUAGUUUCGGACUCCAAGCAAGUAGUUAAUGAUAUUAAGUCAGCAAGCAAUGGAGGCUACAGAGCAAUCAUCUCGGAGAUUAGGAAUCUUUUAGUAGGGUUCGAUUGUAAUAUUACUUUCGAAGGAAGAGCGUCUAAUAGUGAUGUCGAUAGAUUAGUCAAGUUUGCACACUCAUUGGAUCGGGGUAGGCAUUUGUGGUUUCUGGAACCCCAUGAUCCUUUUUGUAUCCCACUUAAUGUGGUUUUUGAGCAAUUAAAACUUGGUUAG